UCCUGGCUCAGGAUGAACGCUAGCUACAGGCUUAACACAUGCAAGUCGAGGGGCAGCAUGGUCUUAGCUUGCUAAGGCUGAUGGCGACCGGCGCACGGGUGAGUAACACGUAUCCAACCUGCCGUCUACUCUUGGCCAGCCUUCUGAAAGGAAGAUUAAUCCAGGAUGGCAUCAUGAGUUCACAUGUCCGCAUGAUUAAAGGUAUUUUCCGGUAGACGAUGGGGAUGCGUUCCAUUAGAUAGUAGGCGGGGUAACGGCCCACCUAGUCAACGAUGGAUAGGGGUUCUGAGAGGAAGGUCCCCCACAUUGGAACUGAGACACGGUCCAAACUCCUACGGGAGGCAGCAGUGAGGAAUAUUGGUCAAUGGGCGAUGGCCUGAACCAGCCAAGUAGCGUGAAGGAUGACUGCCCUAUGGGUUGUAAACUUCUUUUAUAAAGGAAUAAAGUCGGGUAUGCAUACCCGUUUGCAUGUACUUUAUGAAUAAGGAUCGGCUAACUCCGUGCCAGCAGCCGCGGUAAUACGGAGGAUCCGAGCGUUAUCCGGAUUUAUUGGGUUUAAAGGGAGCGUAGGCGGACGCUUAAGUCAGUUGUGAAAGUUUGCGGCUCAACCGUAAAAUUGCAGUUGAUACUGGGUGUCUUGAGUACAGUAGAGGCAGGCGGAAUUCGUGGUGUAGCGGUGAAAUGCUUAGAUAUCACGAAGAACUCCGAUUGCGAAGGCAGCCUGCUGGACUGUAACUGACGCUGAUGCUCGAAAGUGUGGGUAUCAAACAGGAUUAGAUACCCUGGUAGUCCACACAGUAAACGAUGAAUACUCGCUGUUUGCGAUAUACAGUAAGCGGCCAAGCGAAAGCGUUAAGUAUUCCACCUGGGGAGUACGCCGGCAACGGUGAAACUCAAAGGAAUUGACGGGGGCCCGCACAAGCGGAGGAACAUGUGGUUUAA
rnacentral:rRNA from 1 species